rnacentral:lncRNA from 1 species
GCCAACCAGGGAAAGGCCAGCCCGGGCCUCUCGGGAUCUCAAGCCCUCGGCCUGUGUGUGUGCCAGAGCUUCCCACAGACUCGGGAAGAAGGUGCCGGAGGCUUGCCGGGCGGCCUUGCGGUUUGAAGCAGUGAGUCACCUUCUGGCUGCAAGUCAAGGAACUCUCACUGCGCCCUUGUUUGGACAAGACGAGGAGGCGCACUCAGAGUCAGAGACCCCGGGGCAGAGACAGGGGCAAGAAGAAGGGGCCACCGAGACCCCAAGAGAGUCAGGGAGACAGACGCACCAAACGACCGACACAACCAGGGACAGAUAUCCUUCGAGUUGGAUUUCGACUGGGUUCUGCCAGUGGGAUGUAUCCAUGCGAGAUUCUGGAACUAACAUCAGAGAGAGUCCAAGCUUCUAACUUUUAUCAGCGGCAGUGACAAUAGUCAAGCAGCAUUGAUGACAAACGGCAAGAGUUUAGAAAGUACCAGUGACGUGCCUGAUAGAAUCUCACCACAAGAUGGAAGCCAACUCGUCAGAAGCCUGGAAAGCCCACCCAGCGUGGGACCUCUGUGGGUCCAGGAUCUUGGAAUGGUAUCCCAUGGUUCAAUCUUCUGGAUUCAACCACAUAAAUUUACCCCACCCAUGUCGUGGACCCAAGCUUCCUACCAUGUAUACUUAGCUUAAAUGCAAGAUAGUACUAUUUUGUUCAUCUUGAUUGGAGUGAGAAAUGAAUAGGUCCAUGCACAUAUAUUUCUUUUACCACAACAAGAUGAUGAAGAAAUAAAUCCAUAAUAUCGAUACUUUUGUAUAAGUUGUGUUUACAGUUGCGGUAAGAAAUUUUAUAAUUGUUGAUUUGCUUUAUAUAAUUUCUGCUUGCUUUUUAUGAUAUUUAAAACAAAAUCUAAGCAACAAAUUUUAUGUCUGAUUAGAUUUACAGAAGCUGCUUAAGUGCUUAGGGAUAAUUUGUUCAUCAUAUUUGUAAGUCUCCCUUGUUAGGUGUUUGAAGUGUUUGAAUUGGCUAAAUUAAAUUUGUAAUUGUAGUUUGAAAUAUCUAAAGGAAUUUUCUUAAUUAAGUGUUUAAAUGAUGUUAAAAGUUUGUGGGAAUUUAAUCUAUCAAAUUUAUGAGUUAAUUGAAUAUGAAUCAAUGAACAAGUAAAUGUGAUCUUGCUUUUAUAUAAAAACUACUAAGUUCAUAAAUAAAAUACAAAGAUCCAUAAGUUGAGAGGAAAAGCAAAAGAGCCAGAUUCUAAGAUCUAUAACUUAAAAAAAUUAAAUAUUGAUUGAAAUGUAAGUCAUUGCAAUUAUCCCCACUAGCUGAAAUCUCACAUCUGAGUGCUUACACACAAAACAAAAUGUUACCCUGAACAUACUAAACAAAUAAAAAACCACGUGGUAAUUACUAUACACAUGCUCACUGCUGGAAGCA